rnacentral:lncRNA from 1 species
GGCUAGGGGUUGAAUCAGAGCUGUAGCCACCGGCCUACACCAGAGCCACAGCAACACGGGAUCCGAGCCGUGUCUGCAACCUACACCACAGCUCACGGCAAUGCUGGAUCCUUAACCCACUGAGCACGGUCAGGGAUUGAACCCGCAACUUCAUGGUUCCUUGUUGGAUUCGUUGAACACUGAGCCAAAUCAGGAACUCCUCUCUUCUUGUGAUUGGAUGACUAUCUUUAGUGUUGUAUUUGAGUUGAUUUUUCUUAUUUUUGUGUAUAUCAAUUGUGGAUUUUUGGUUUGCAGUUAGUCUGAAGUUUUGGUGUAAGAGUCUAUAUAUAUAAGACAUUGUUUUAAGUUGUUGGUUUUGUAAUUGCAGUUGCAUCUCCAUUGUCCUGCAUUUGAUUUCUGAUUUUGGUGGCAUAAUUGUGCAUGGAUGAUCUGCAUAGCUUUACUGUAUAUAUGUGUUCACUGGUGAGCCUUGUCAUUUGUAAUAUUUUUGUUUCUGGUUUCGGCCUUUUUUGUCUGCCGAGAGAAGUUCCUUUAGUAUUUGUUGUUAAACUGGUUUAGUGUUGCUGAAUUCUCUUGGCUUUUGCUUAUCUGUGAAGGUUUUGAUUUCUCCUUCAAAUCUGAAUGAGAGCUUUGCUGGGGAACGUAAUCUUGGUUGGAGGUUUUUCCUUUCAUCACGUUAAGUAUAUCAUGUCACUCCCUUCUGGCCUGCAGAGCUUCUGCUGAAAAAUCUACUGAUAACCUUAUCUGGGUUCCCUAGUAUGUUAUUUGUUUCUUUGCCCUAGCUGCUUUCAACAUUUUCUCUUUGACUUUAAUUUUGGUCAGUUUGAUUAAUAUGUGUCUCGGGGUGUUCCUCCUUGUGUUUAUUUUAUAUGUUACUCGUUGUGCUUCCUGGAAUUGAGUGAGUGGUUCCUUUCCCAUGUUAGGGAAGUUUUUGGCUUUUAUCUUUUCGAAUGUUUUUUCUGUCCCUUUCUCUCUUCUCCUUCUGGCACCCAUAUAAUACGGAUGUUGGUGCGUUUCAUGUUGUCCCAGAGUUCUCUGAGGCUCUCUUCAUUUGUUUUCAAUAUUUUUUCUCUUUUCUGUUCUGCAUCCAUGAUUUCAACUGAUCUGUCCUCCACUUCCCUUAUUUGUUCUUCUGCCUCUUGUAUUCUGCUGUUAGCUGCUUCUAAUGAUUUUUGUAUUUCAGUUAUUGUAUUUUGCAUCUCUUCUUGCUUAAGUUUUAUAUCUUGUAUCUCUUUGCUCAGCAUUUCCUGUAAAUUAUCCAUUUUGCCUCCAGUUUAUUUCCUGUGUCUUGCAUCAUCUUCAGCAUCAACAGUCUAAAGUCUUUUUCCUCAAGGCUGAGAAUCUCCUGAUCAUUGAGCUGUUUUUCUGGUUUUUUUUUUCUUUUCUCCCUUAUCUGAGUUAUAGUUCUCUGUCUUUUCAUCUUUAUAGGUUUUUGGUGUGGUGACCUUUCUACAGAUAAUAGAGUUGUAGCCUCUCUUACUUCUGGUAUCUGCCCCCCUUGUGGCUGAAGUUGGUAUGGGGCUUGCUGUAGGCUUCCUAAUGGGAGGGACUGGUGCCUGUGCACUGUUAGGUGGAGCUGAUUCCUAUCCCUCUGCUGGGUGGGGCUUUGUCUCUGGGUGAGAUUAGAGGGGGCUGUGUGCCUGGGGGGGGGCUCUUUGGGCAGCCUGUUUACUGAUGCGUAGGGCUGUGAUCCCACCUGGAUUGUUGUUUGGGCUGGGACUUCUCAGUGCUGGGGCCAGAUUUUCCCAAAAUGGCCACCCCCAGAGAAAAGUACACUGAGGAAUAUUUCCAAGAGCUUUGCUUUCAGUGCCCUUCCCCCACAACAUGCCACAGUCAUCCCCAGUUUUCCCAGGAGAUCCUCUGAGAUCUGCAGUCAUGUCUGACCCAGAUUCCUAUGGAGACUGUGCUCUGCCCUUGGACCCAUGCAAGUCUGUGUGUGCCUUUUAAGAAUGGGAUCUCCAUUUCCCUCAGUCCUGCUCACAAGCCCACUGGCCUUCAAUACCAGAUGCUCCAGGGGCUCUUUCUCCCAGUGCUAGAUGCCCAGGCCUGGGGUCUUGACAUGGGGCUCAGAACUCUCACUCCUGUAGGUGAAGCUCUGUGAAACAGUUACUUUCCAGUGCGUGGGGCUUCCUACCUGGGAGAGGUAUGGGGUUGCUUAUAUCACGUAAUCACCCCUCCUACCUCUUGAUGUGGCCUUUGGACUAGGAUAUCUUUUCGAAAGCUUCCAGUACAUUUGGUUGAAGAUUGCUCAGCAUUUGGUUGUGAUUUUGUUGUUUUUAGGAGAGAAGUUGAAUUCCAGUCCUUCUAUUCUUCCGUCUUAAUCUUGUCUCCAGUUAUGUCUAUUUUGAAAAAGAGUAUAUUCAAAUUUUUGGAUUUGAUACGCCCAUCAGUGAACAUAUAUUUUUUGAGUUUAUAACCUCAAAAUAAUAUAUUUCUUUGUAUUUACUAAUUGUACAAUUCUUCUGUAGUAAUACGUGUAGUACAUUAUGAAACACACCAAAACUAGAAAUUCUAGUAUUUUCUUCCUGUUUCUUCUGGUUCAUUUAAUAUAUGCCCUAGAAUGUAUAUACCCAAUUUGGAGACCACACUUUUAGAGAUUAUGAUUAAACAGAGAGAAAGAGUAGGAUGUUAUGAAGUUUGCCCCUUGAAGUCAGUAUAUGAUACCACAAGUGGUGCUCCUUCCAGCAAUUCUUUAUGUGGAGAAUUUUCAGACUUACAGGAAGAUCAAAAUAAUAUGUUGAACACUUGAGUACUCUGUUCAGAGUUACUAAUGUUUUGUCACAUUUUCUUCAUCCUUUUUUGUAUGUUUAUAUACACGUGUAUGUGUGUGUAUGUUUGUGUUCAUGUUUGUGUACAGAUGUGUCUCUGUGUUUAUAUACAUAUGUACUUUAUUGUGUGAAGAGUUACAGACUUUGAAAUAAACUAUGCAUCUCAGCAUUUCAUCAUGUAAACCUUUAUCACAUCAUGUAACCUUUAUCACAUCAUGUAAACCUGUAUCACAUCUAAGCAAAUUAACAGUAAUUUCGUAAUAUUUUUGUUUCUAACUAUCCCCAGUCUUUUUAGGUACAUUUUUUUUUAAAUCUGGAAAUAUACACAACAUUUUUUAUGUCUCUUUAUUCUCUAUUAAUCUGGGGUGGUCUCUUCUUUUUUCCGCCCUGAUUUUCCUUUUUUAAAAAGAUCAACCCCAGUUAUCUCAUGGCAUGUCCUACAUUCUAGAUUUAUCUGUUUGUUCUUUAUGAUGUUAUUUAAUUAACUUGAUGUUCUGUUCUCAUUGUAGUAGAAUUUUGUUAAUAAUCUUUAUUAUUAAUCUCCCUAAUUUGCCAUCAGAAUGAUAAGAUUCAUGGUUAAAAGUGAUAAGUCUAAAUUUUUCAAUCUCAUAUCAAGAAACUGUAAAUGUAAAUGAACAUUGUAAGCCUUGAGGUGUGAUUGUUCCUUAUACAAGACUAUAUGCUCAGGCCACUGAUGCUACCAAACUCAGUAUAGUUGUGUGUUCAUUUAACAUUGCAUUCAAAGUCACUGAAGAAGAUCUGUGCCCUAGAAAAGAAUAAUGAGCCCCCCCCCCGCCCAAUUCAAAGCAAAGUCAGCUUUUCUCAGGCUUGUUCAUCUACCUGAUUCUCUCUGGAUGGCUUUUAGGUAUUUUUAGAAAUGAAGUCAAAUUAUAGGAGUUUGUUCUAGGAUGUGUACAUUUUGGCAUGUUUGUUUUAAAAGACUUCUCACUGCCUUAUAGUCAUAUCGCCUGUUAAGAUAUUGAAGUCACUAAAGAGGGAGGGAAGUCCUCUGUUUUUAAAAGCUAUAGUUUUUACUUGUUUUGCUCAAAUUGGUUACCAGAUUGGAAUCAGACUGAGUAAAAUGUAGACCCAUAGUCAAGUUACACAUGCAAGUUACAGUUAAUAUACACUAUCAGGUUGUUAAAUAGCUAGUUUAAGUCCUUGCAUUAUUUCAGUUGGUUAAUGGCUUUUAUAAAAUAGAAUAAA